rnacentral:rRNA from 1 species
AGCUAGUUGGUGAGUAAAGGCUUACCAAGGCGACGAUCUGUAGCGGGUCUGAGAGGAUGAUCCGCCACACUGGAACUGAGACACGGUCCAGACUCCUACGGGAGGCAGCAGUGGGGAAUUUUGGACAAUGGGGGCAACCCUGAUCCAGCCAUGCCGCGUGAGUGAAGAAGGCCUUCGGGUUGUAAAGCUCUUUCGGCCGGGAAGAAAUCGCAUGGGCCAAUACCCUGUGUGGAUGACGGUACCGGAAUAAGAAGCACCGGCUAACUACGUGCCAGCAGCCGCGGUAAUACGUAGGGUGCGAGCGUUAAUCGGAAUUACUGGGCGUAAAGCGUGCGCAGGCGGUUUUGUAAGACAGGCGUGAAAUCCCCGGGCUUAACCUGGGAACUGCGUUUGUGACUGCAAGGCUAGAGUACGGCAGAGGGGGGUGGAAUUCCACGUGUAGCAGUGAAAUGCGUAGAGAUGUGGAGGAACACCAAUGGCGAAGGCAGCCCCCUGGGUCGAUACUGACGCUCAUGCACGAAAGCGUGGGUAGCAAACAGGAUUAGAUACCCUGGUGGUCCACGCCCUAAACUAUGUCAACUAGGUGUUGGGUGGGUAAAACCAUUUAGUACCGUAGCUAACGCGUGAAGUUGACCGCCUGGGGAGUACGGCCGCAAGGUUAAAACUCAAAGGAAUUGACGGGGACCCGCACAAGCGGUGGAUGAUGUGGAUUAAUUCGAUGCAACGCGAAAAACCUUACCUACCCUUGACAUGCCAGGAACUUGCCAGAGAUGGCUUGGUGCCCGAAAGGGAGCCUGGACACAGGUGCUGCAUGGCUGUCGUCAGCUCGUGUCGUGAGAUGUUGGGUUAAGUCCCGCAACGAGCGCAACCCUUGUCGUUAAUUGCCAUCAUUUAGUUGGGCACUUUAACGAGACUGCCGGUGACAAACCGGAGGAAGGUGGGGAUGACGUCAAGUCCUCAUGGCCCUUAUGGGUAGGGCUUCACACGUCAUACAAUGGUCGGUACAAAGGGUUGCCAAGCCGCGAGGCGGAGCCAAUCCCAGAAAGCCGAUCGUAGUCCGGAUUGCAGGCUGCAACUCGCCUGCAUGAAGUCGGAAUCGCUAGUAAUCGUGGAUCAGCAUGUCACGGUGAAUACGUUCCCGGGUCUUGUACACACCGCCCGUCACACCAUGGGAGCGGGUUCCGCCAGAAGUAGGUAGCCUAACCGCAAGGGGGGCGCUUACCACGGCGGGGUUCGUGACUGGGGUGAAGUCGUAACAAGGUAGCCGUAGGGGAACCUGCGGCUG